UACUAACUUAUUGAUUAGGGAUCCGAGUUUUGGUCUAUAGUUCCACCGAUGUAUCUUGCCUUGAUGAUGCCUUCUUGUUCGCGUACGGUGCAAUCCCAAUUGCGUCCUGUGCAGUAAUUAACACUCUCCAACUGUUUAAGAGAGAUGAUAAUCCAAUGGAAAUGCUGGUUGUAGCAAGACUCACCGGACAUGACAAUGACCACUGCAGUUGUGAUCUGACGAGGAAAAGAGGUGCCGGUGUGCAUAUGCACAUACCCUUCUAGUUUCACAUAGUAGGCAGCUAGGUAUGCUCCCUAAAUCUAUCUGUCAUAGUGAGUUAACCUUAGAAGCUUCAAUUACAUAUUAGUCGUGUGUUGCAUCUCAGUACCCCAUGUGUACCGCAGUUCACUCUUGUUUCUUCACGAGAUCUCCUGAUGCUUCGCAUCCCUAUGUUCCUGCAACCAACAUUGGUGCCCAUGUUUCGUUUUAGCUUUUUUGGGUAGCUUUUUGUUUGUUUAAUGGAGAGGAUCACUUGGUAGUUCUUUAGAACAUGAGGCUGAUGUUCUCUCUUGUAUCAAUGUAUGGUUGGUAGGAACUAGUUAAGCUUAUUUGGUACUU
rnacentral:lncRNA from 1 species